UGGUAGUAAAAUCACCCCCGAGGAAGAAACAGAUGUCAAAAAAUCCACUGAUGCAGAGUUACAAAAAUCUGAAGCAGAAAGUGUGCCAGAAGAUAAAUCCUUAUCAACUUUACCCAGCACAGCAUCUGCCGGAGAUGAAACAGUUGAGAAAGGCCUUCAAGAAGAAACACAUACGGAAGUGGAAUCAGCAGUGACAGAUACAAAAGAGGGGCAAAUACCAGAAAAUAAAGUUGAGGAGAAGAAAAAAGUUCCCGAGGCAUUUGAUCUACCAAAAACGACAAGCCACACUAGCACAGAAAAUGAACCAAAAACAGAACUCCAAUCUGAAGUGCAAAACCCGGAGACCACAGUUAUCAAGCACCCAAAUUUGGAAGCAGAG